UGGGGAAUUUUGCACAAUGGGGGAAACCCUGAUGCAGCGACGCCGCGUGAUUUAGAAGGCCUUCGGGUUGUAAAAAUCUUUUUUACGGGAUGAAAAUGACAGUACCGUAAGAAUAAGGUCCGGCUAAAUACGUGCCAGCAGCCGCGGUAAUACGUAUGGACCGAGCGUUGUCCGGAAUCAUUGGGCGUAAAGGGUACGUAGGCGGCCUAGUAAGUUAGAAGUGAAAUAAUAUAGCUCAACCAUAUAAAGCUUUUAAAACUGCUAGGCUUGAGAGCUGGAAAGGAAAGUGGAAUUCCUAGUGUAGCGGUGAAAUGCGCAGAUAUUAGGAAGAAUACCGGUGGCGAAGGCGACUUUCUGGUCAUCAUCUGACGCUGAGGUACGAAAGCGUGGGUAGCAAACAGG
rnacentral:rRNA from 1 species